AUUGAACGCUGGCGGCAUGCCUUACACAUGCAAGUCGAACGGUAACAGGUCUUCGGAUGCUGACGAGUGGCGAACGGGUGAGUAACACAUCGGAACGUGCCUAGUAGUGGGGGAUAACUACUCGAAAGAGUGGCUAAUACCGCAUGAGAUCUACGGAUGAAAGCAGGGGAUCGCAAGACCUUGUGCUACUAGAGCGGCCGGUGGCAGAUUAGGUAGUUGGUGGGAUAAAAGCUUACCAAGCCGACGCUCUGUAGCUGGUCUGAGAGGACGAUCAGCCAGACUGGGAAUGAGAAACGGCCCAGACUCCUACGGGAGGCAGCAGUGGGGAAUUUUGGACAAUGGGCGAAAGCCUGAUCCAGCAAUGCCGCGUGCAGGAUGAAGGCCUUCGGGUUGUAAACUGCUUUUGUACGGAACGAAAAGCCCCGGGUUAAUACCCUGGGGUCAUGACGGUACCGUAAGAAUAAGCACCGGCUAACUACGUGCCAGCCGCCGCCGUAA
rnacentral:rRNA from 1 species